CACGAGAAAGUGGAGCAAUCCAUGAGUAAAGUGGCGUACGGGUGAGUAACACGUGGAUCAUCUACCUCUUAGUGGGGAAUAACCCUGGGAAACCGGGGCUAAUACCGCAUAAGCCUGAAAAGGGAAAGCAGUAAUGCGCUGAGAGAGGAGUCCGCGGCCGAUUAGCUAGUUGGUAGGGUAAUGGCCUACCAAGGCAAUGAUCGGUAGCCGGCCUGAGAGGGCACACGGCCACACUGGCACUGAAACACGGGCCAGACUCCUACGGGAGGCAGCAGUGGGGAAUCUUGCACAAUGGAGGAAACUCUGAUGCAGCGACGCCGCGUGAGCGAUGAAGCCCUUCGGGGUGUAAAGCUCUUUCGACGGGAACGAUAAUGACGGUACCCGGAGAAGAAGCUGCGGCUAACUACGUGCCAGCAGCCGCGGUAAUACGUAGGCAGCAAGCGUUGUUCGGAAUUACUGGGCGUAAAGAGUGUGUAGGCGGUUCUCUAUGUUCGGCGUGAAAUCUCCCGGCUUAACUGGGAGGGUGCGCCGAAAACUGGAGGGCUUGAGUAUGGGAGAGGAAAGCGGAAUUCCUGGUGUAGCGGUGAAAUGCGUAGAUAUCAGGAGGAACACCUGCGGUGUAGACGGCUUUCUGGACCAUCACUGACGCUGAGACACGAAAGCGUGGGUAGCAAACAGGAUUAGAUACCCUGGUAGUCCACGCCCUAACGAUGCAUACUUGGUGUGAGCCGUUCA
rnacentral:rRNA from 1 species